rnacentral:rRNA from 1 species
AGCGAACGCUGGCGGCAGGCCUAACACAUGCAAGUCGAACGAACCUUUCGGGGUUAGUGGCGGACGGGUGAGUAACACGUGGGAACGUGCCUUUAGGUUCGGAAUAACUCAGGGAAACUUGUGCUAAUACCGAAUGUGCCCUUCGGGGGAAAGAUUGAUCGCCUUUAGAGCGGCCCGCGUCUGAUUAGCUAGUUGGUUGAGGUAAUGGCUCACCAAGGCGACGAUCAGUAGCUGGUCUGAGAGGAUGAUCAGCCACAUUGGGACUGCGACACGGCCCAAACUCCUACGGGAGGCAGCAGUGGGGAAUCUUGCGCAAUGGGCGAAAGCCUGACGCAGCCAUGCCGCGUGAAUGAUGAAGGUCUUAGGAUUGUAAAAUUCUUUCACCGGGGACGAUAAUGACGGUACCCGGAGAAGAAGCCCCGGCUAACUUCGUG